CCUAAAUAAAACCCUAAUUCCCCAAUCCCUAACUCAAAACACAAUGCACACACACAUUCAGAAAGGGAAGGAAACGAGAAACAGGGGGAAGAAGAAGGGAAGGAGAGGGAGAAGAGCAUGCCGGCGUCGCGCCCAGCUCGUCGCCGUGGAGCUGUCGCCGCUCUCAUCACGGGCCGUCGCUCAUUGUCACUGCUGGGUUCUUCGUCAGCGCUACUGCAGACAAGAAGAAAAAGAGAGAAAGCCAGCGCGAGAGAAGAGGAGGAGGGGCGCUGUCUCACGCCGUCACUGUCACGCCUUGUUGUCGCAGCUAUGGAGACCGCCACCGUUGUUGGAAUCGCGAACUGAGGAGAAAGGGAGAGCGACGCUGAGAGAGAUUGACGGAAGCCAAGGAGAGAAGAGGAGCCGAUUUCCGUCACCACCACCGCACCCAGUCGCCACCGGUGGAGCUCGCCGUCCCUGGAGGUGAAUCGGUGUCGCGUCCUUGCUGCCAGGGCCACCAGCGCUAAUGCUUCUCCUCAAAUUUCGCCUCUUUUCCUUUGGGGGUUUCUGCCGCAAAUUCCAUGCCCAACAUCACCAUACUUCUUGUAUUCGUUGGGGAACUUCUUACUUCUUAGUUUCCUGAUUUUUCAGAUUAAAAAUAUUUUGAAAUC